GUCCAGACUCCUACGGGAGGCAGCAGUGGGGAAUAUUGGGCAAUGGGCGCAAGCCUGACCCAGCAACGCCGCGUGAAGGAAGAAGGCUUUCGGGUUGUAAACUUCUUUUCUCAGGGACGAAGCAAGUGACGGUACCUGAGGAAUAAGCCACGGCUAACUACGUGCCAGCAGCCGCGGUAAUACGUAGGUGGCAAGCGUUAUCCGGAUUUACUGGGUGUAAAGGGCGUGUAGGCGGGACUGCAAGUCAGAUGUGAAAACCAUGGGCUCAACCUAUGGCCUGCAUUUGAAACUGUAGUUCUUGAGUACUGGAGAGGCAGACGGAAUUCCUUGUGUAGCGGUGAAAUGCGUAGAUAUAAGGAAGAACACCAGUGGCGAAGGCGGAUGACUGGACGGCAACUGACGGUGAGGCGCGAAAGCGUGGGGAGCAAACAGGAUUAGAUACCCGCGUAGA
rnacentral:rRNA from 1 species